ensembl:lncRNA
CCAGGAGAAGCUGUCAGACUGACCUGGCUGUACUUGCGGAACAACGCGGUAAAAUCGGUAUAGCUGGAGCCUUUGUGGCCGUGCUGGGAAUGGUAUCCAGGAAUGGCCCAGCUGAUUGGGAAGCCAACAGAAGGACAUGGAUUCAGGAUUGUUCCUCAGCAGGGAUAUGAUGCAGCUCAAGCCCCAGCCUAGGACCCCAUGGCAUUCAGGAAUCCAGGCCCUUUCUUUCUUCUGGCUGGGAGCACCCGACAAAUGAAGGAGCUGCUCCAGCAGGAAAGAGUAUCCAUGUCCAUCCCAUAGCUCUGACAGCGUCAGCCCCGAUUGCUCAUCUGUUUCCAAGUACAGCUGAGACAUUUUGCUGGUGGGCAGAGAAGUCAGGGACACUGCAUCCAGCACCCUGCAGCAGAGGAAGCAUUAGUACUGCUGUUGUUAGCCUUGUUAUUUUCUCCUAAUAAAAAGGUGGUCGUGACUCACUCCAUUAAGAAACAAAAGCAGAGUUGUAAUCUACUGAAAGGCAGUUGUUUGGAUGCUCAGCAUUAGGUG